UCCGCAAUGAAGCAUACGUUGAGGAUCCCGCCGAUGAUAUUGGGUGUUCAGAAGAACCACACGGGGACGGAGUAGGGUUGGACUCAGUUACUGAUACCAACGGAAAAGAGCCGGCGAGUCUAAAAGAAGCCCAAAGAAAGUCCAAUGAUGGCAGUUUCGAGGACGAGAAGAGA